AUACGGAGGGUGCAAGCGUUAUUCGGAAUCACUGGGCGUAAAGGGUGCGUAGGCGGUUUGAUAAGUCUGAUGUGAAAUCCUAUGGCUCAACCAUAGAACUGCAUUGGAAACUGUCAGACUAGAAUACUGAAGGGGCAGAUGGAAUUAGUGGUGUAGGGGUAAAAUCCGUAGAUAUCACUAGGAAUACCGAAAGCGAAAGCGAUCUGCUGGGAAGUUAUUGACGCUGAGGCUCGAAAGCGUGGGGAGCAAACGGGAUUAGAAACCCGAGUAGUCC
rnacentral:rRNA from 1 species